GACGAACCGAGCGAACGUUGUUCGGAAUCACUGGGCUUAAAGGGCGCGUAGGCGGCCUGCCAAGUCAGGAGUGAAAUCUUUCGGCUCAACCGGAAAAGUGCUUUUGAUACUGGCGGGCUAGAGGGAGAUAGGGGCAUGUGGAACUUCCGGUGGAGCGGUGAAAUGCGCAGAUAUCAGGAGGAACACCGGUGGCGAAGGCGGGAUCCUGGGCCAGUACUGACGCUGAGGAGCGAAAGCGUGGGGAGCAAACAGG
rnacentral:rRNA from 1 species